rnacentral:rRNA from 1 species
UACGGGGGGGAGCAAGCGUUGUUCGGAUUUACUGGGCGUAAAGGGCGCGUAGGCGGCCACGACAAGUCAGUUGUGAAAUCUCUGGGCUUAACUCAGAACGGUCAACUGAUACUGCUGUGCUAGAGUACAGAAGGGGCAAUCGGAAUUCUUGGUGUAGCGGUGAAAUGCGUAGAUAUCAAGAGGAACACCUGAGGUGAAGACGGGUUGCUGGGCUGAUACUGACGCUGAGGCGCGAAAGCUAGGGUAGCAAACGGG